AUGAACGCUGGCGGCGUGCUUAACACAUGCAAGUCGAACGGAAAGGCUCCUGCUUGCAGGGGUACUCGAGUGGCGAACGGGUGAGUAACACGUGGGUGAUCUGCCCAGCACUUCGGGAUAAGCCUGGGAAACUGGGUCUAAUACCGGAUAGGACGAUGGUUUGGAUGCCAUUGUGGAAAGUUUUUUCGGUGUGGGAUGAGCUCGCGGCCUAUCAGCUUGUUGGUGGGGUAAUGGCCUACCAAGGCGUCGACGGGUAGCCGGCCUGAGAGGGUGUACGGCCACAUUGGGACUGAGAUACGGCCCAGACUCCUACGGGAGGCAGCAGUGGGGAAUAUUGCACAAUGGGCGCAAGCCUGAUGCAGCGACGCCGCGUGGGGGAUGACGGCCUUCGGGUUGUAAACUCCUUUCGCUAGGGACGAAGCGCAAGUGACGGUACCUGGAGAAGAAGCACCGGCUAACUACGUG
rnacentral:rRNA from 1 species